rnacentral:rRNA from 1 species
CUCUAACUCCUAACCCAAUGUGAACCAUACCAAACUGUUGCCUCGGCGGGGUCACGCCCCGGGUGCGUCGCAGCCCCGGAACCAGGCGCCCGCCGGAGGGACCAACCAAACUCUUUUCUGUAGUCCCCUCGCGGACGUUAUUUCUUACAGCUCUGAGCAAAAAUUCAAAAUGAAUCAAAACUUUCAACAACGGAUCUCUUGGUUCUGGCAUCGAUGAAGAACGCAGCGAAAUGCGAUAAGUAAUGUGAAUUGCAGAAUUCAGUGAAUCAUCGAAUCUUUGAACGCACAUUGCGCCCGCCAGUAUUCUGGCGGGCAUGCCUGUCCGAGCGUCAUUUCAACCCUCGAACCCCUCCGGGGGGUCGGCGUUGGGGAUCGGGAACCCCUAAGACGGGAUCCCGGCCCCGAAAUACAGUGGCGGUCUCGCCGCAGCCUCUCCUGCGCAGUAGUUUGCACAACUCGCACCGGGAGCGCGGCGCGUCCACGUCCGUAAAACACCCAACUUCUGAAAUGUUGACCUCGGAUCAGGUAGGAAUACCCGCUGAACUUAAGCAUAUCAAUAAGCGRARGAA